GAGCAUGCGUACUGAGAGGGAUAUCCGGAAUGAAAUGGUUCUCCAUGAGAGCCACAAGCGAACAUUCAACAACUUGAAAACUGGAUUGAAAAUGAGAGACAGAGCAGCCACUGCAGAAGCUUCCAAAAUCACUCUGCACUUUCUUGAACUGCUGCAAUCCACGUGGUGAUGUAGCUCCCAUGUUGCAAAUUGGAUGCUGUUCAGUUUCUGUCAACGUUCUGAGUCCUCGAAUUUCAACAGGACUGCCACUUCCAUACUAUCUUCAGAGCUUCUCUACCCCACCGUCAGCUCACAGCUGGGUCAGUGUCUUGUUGUUAUUGCAGCAAGUCCGUGAGGGUCUCCAAAAACGAACUUGACAUUUGGCGCAAGAGCAGGGUUCCAACAUGUACAGCAGUCUCACCUGGAGGGCUGAAUAAGUGAUCGUUCGAGUGUCAGUGGAGUCAGACAGAUGGGCCCGCAAGAUGUAUUCAGUAGGUGGAUAGAGGCUUUCCCAAAGACAAACAACAAAGCCUCAACACUAGUAAAACUGUUAUUAACUGAAAUAGUACCAAGGUUUGGAGUACCGCGACAAAUUAGUUCGGAAGACGGCUCUCACAUUGUGGGGAAAAUUAAUAAGGAACUGUGUGGUACAUUACACAUCCAACAACGAUUCCACUGUGCCUACCACCCUUGGGCAGCAGGGAUAGUAGAGAGAGCUAAUGCAACACUUAAAACCAAACUAACCAAGUUGACAUCCGAAACCGGCCUUAAUUGGUUAAAGGUUUUGCCACGAGCCUUGUAUCACAUGCGAAUAACACCCCACUCUACUACUGGGCUCUCAGCAGCGGAAAUAGUCUAUGACUGACCCAGCAGAACAACAUAGGAUGCCAAUACCAGCCCACCCAGCAAAACAGACCUAAAUGUGAUGGGAGAAGAAAUGCGAAGACACUUCUGACAACUAACAUCAUCUUGAAGGUUUCUCCAUUUGCCGGUGAAGUGCGCCUUCGGACCACCUCCGCGGACACCGGAACAAGGCCUCGAGAUUCAGGAUCGAUCAUCAUGGCCGCAGAUUGGAGAUUUUGUACUUGUCCGGGACUGGGGUCGCCCCAAGGUGGAAAGGACCGUACCAAGUGUUUCUUCAGACUCCGACAGCUCUUAAAGUUAAAGGACAGAAUCGCUGGAUCCACUUAAGUGACUCUAAAUGAUGGAUUUCCUCAUCAGCAUGCAGUUAACCAUUGGACUCAGUAUUAGUCUGACCAUGCAUGGCCAGCAGGACAAUUUUGUUUUAUAAAACACACAUACAGCUGAACGGGAAUCGGACAGCAUGUUACCCGUUGGCAUGAUCUGUAGAAGCAUUAUUUGUGGCAACAUCUGCCUGGAACCCUAGUCAGCUUUAUGAAAUAGAGUAUUCCGGUAAGCCUUGCUGAAGGGAGAGGGGAUCUUGGACACAGGUGUGCAGGGUACAUGUGUGAAACUGGCAGUUAGUGGUCUCUCUGGUUGUGUGGACACUCGACCUGGGCAUGGGAAGGAAGGGGCUAGCUGUACAAAUCCCAACAGCUAUCUGUUUUGCUUUAAUGGAACUGGAACUUGUUGCGUGCCUGCUCUCGUUACUCAUCACCCCCAAAAUACUUCCUGGCCCCA